rnacentral:tRNA from 1 species
GCCUUUGUGGUGUAGUGGUCAGCACGCUCGGCGCGUAUUCGAGAGGUCCGUGGUUCGAGUCCCGGCGAGGGCG